UGACGACGAUGGCCCAGCGUGAUCCUCCCUCCAAGUCGAGCGAACAGAAAAGGAGCUUGCUCCUUUGACGUUAGCGGCGGACGGGUGAGUAACACGUGGGCAACCUACCCUAUAGUUUGGGAUAACUCCGGGAAACCGGGGCUAAUACCGAAUAAUCUCUUUUGCUUCAUGGUGAAAGACUGAAAGACGGUUUCGGCUGUCGCUAUAGGAUGGGCCCGCGGCGCAUUAGCUAGUUGGUGAGGUAACGGCUCACCAAGGCGACGAUGCGUAGCCGACCUGAGAGGGUGAUCGGCCACACUGGGACUGAGACACGGCCCAGACUCCUACGGGAGGCAGCAGUAGGGAAUCUUCCACAAUGGGCGAAAGCCUGAUGGAGCAACGCCGCGUGAGUGAAGAAGGUUUUCGGAUCGUAAAACUCUGUUGUAAGGGAAGAACAAGUACAGUAGUAACUGGCUGUACCUUGACGGUACCUUAUUAGAAAGCCACGGCUAACUACGUGCCAGCAGCCGCGGUAAUACGUAGGUGGCAAGCGUUGUCCGGAAUUAUUGGGCGUAAAGCGCGCGCAGGCGGUCCUUUAAGUCUGAUGUGAAAGCCCACGGCUCAACCGUGGUAGGGUCAUUGGAAACUGGGGGACUUGAGUGCAGAAGAGGAAAGUGGAAUUCCAGGUGUAGCGGUGAAAUGCGUAGCAGAUUUGGACGGAACACCAGUGGCGACGCGACUUUCUCGUCUGUAACUGACGCUGAGGCGCGACAGCGUGGGGUAGCUAACAGGAUAGAUAAACCCCCUGUGUUAGUUCCA
rnacentral:rRNA from 1 species